AGCAUAUCAAUAAGCGGAGGAAAAGAAACUAACAAGGAUUCCCCUAGUAACUGCGAGUGAAGCGGGAAAAGCUCAAAUUUAAAAUCUGGUGGUUUUUGGCCAUCCGAGUUGUAAUCUAGAGAAGUGUUACCCGCGUCGGACCGUGUACAAGUCUCCUGGAAUGGAGCGUCAUAGAGGGUGAGAAUCCCGUCUUUGACACGGACUACCGAGGCUUUGUGGUGCGCUCUCAAAGAGUCGAGUUGUUUGGGAAUGCAGCUCAAAAUGGGUGGUAAAUUCCAUCUAAAGCUAAAUAUUGGCGAGAGACCGAUAGCGAACAAGUACCGUGAGGGAAAGAUGAAAAGAACUUUGGAAAGAGAGUUAAACAGUACGUGAAAUUGCUGAAAGGGAAACGCUUGAAGUCAGUCGCGUUGGCCGGAAAUCAGCCUUGCUUUUUGCAUGGUGUACUUUCUGGUUGACGGGCCAGCAUCAGUUUUGACCGAUGGAAAAAGUCUAGAGGAAGGUGGCAUCUUCGGAUGUGUUAUAGCCUCUGGUCGUAUACAUCGGUUGGGACUGAGGAACUCAGCACGCCGCAAGGCCGGGUCUUUGACCACGUUCGUGCUUAGGAUGCUGGCAUAAUGGCUUUAAUCGACCCGUCUUGAAACACGGACCAAGGAGUCUAACAUGCCUGCGAGUGUUUGGGUGGAAAACCCRAGCGCGUAAUGAAAGUGAAAGUUGAGAUCCCUGUCAUGGGGAGCAUCGACGCCCGGACCAGACGUUUUCUGACGGCCCUGCGGUAGAGCAUGUAUGUUGGGACCCGAAAGAUGGUGAACUAUGCCUGAAUAGGGUGAAGCCAGAGGAAACUCUGGUGGAGGCUCGUAGCGAUUCUGACGUGCAAAUCGAUCGUCAAAUUUGGGUAUAGGGGCGAAAGACUAAUCGAACC
rnacentral:rRNA from 1 species